UACGUAGGGCGCAAGCGUUGUCCGGAAUUAUUGGGCGUAAAGAGCUCGUAGGCGGUCUGUCGCGUCUGGUGUGAAAUCCCGAGGCUCAACCUCGGGCUUGCAUCGGGUACGGGCGGACUAGAGUGCUGUAGGGGAGACUGGAAUUCCUGGUGUAGCGGUGGAAUGCGCAGAUAUCAGGAGGAACACCGAUGGCGAAGGCAGGUCUCUGGGCAGUUACUGACGCUGAGGAGCGAAAGCAUGGGGAGCGAACGGG
rnacentral:rRNA from 1 species